rnacentral:ncRNA from 1 species
CAUCGCGAGAUGGAAUCUGAAGGAAGCCGGAUGUUUCGUGGGAAAAUACUAAUCUGAAACGGACAAAAUCCCGACCUGCCGAACAGAAAUCUUAUAUAAGGUUACUCUGCAUGGAUGAGAACACUUCUCAGUUCAAAGUUAAAACUGUCCGGAAUGCAGAGUGAUAGAUGAGGCAGGUAAAUGGGAUGAAAGCUG